rnacentral:rRNA from 1 species
UACGGAGGGUGCGAGCGUUGUUCGGAAUCACUGGGCGUGAAGCGCGUGUAGGCGGCCCACUAAGUCUGAUGUGAAAGCCCGGGGCUCACCCCCGGAAGUGCAUUGGAAACUGGUGGACUCGAGUCCCGGAGAGGAGAGUGGAAUUCCUGGUGUAGCGGUGAAAUGCGUAGAUAUCAGGAGGAACACCGGUGGCGAAGGCGGCUUGCUGGGCCUUACCUGACGCUGAGGAGCGAAAGCGUGGGGAGCGAACAGG